UAGGGAAUCUUCCGCAAUGGGCGAAAGCCUGACGGAGCAACGCCGCGUGAGUGAUGAAGGUCUUCGGAUCGUAAAACUCUGUUAUUAGGGAAGAACAAAUGUGUAAGUAACUAUGCACGUCUUGACGGUACCUAAUCAGAAAGCCACGGCUAACUACGUGCCAGCAGCCGCGGUAAUACGUAGGUGGCAAGCGUUAUCCGGAAUUAUUGGGCGUAAAGCGCGCGUAGGCGGUUUUUUAAGUCUGAUGUGAAAGCCCCCGGCUCAACCGGGGAGGGUCAUUGGAAACUGGUUGACUUGAGUGCAGAAGAGGAGAGUGGAAUUCCAUGUGUAGCGGUGAAAUGCGUAGAUAUAUGGAGGAACACCAGUGGCGAAGGCGACUCUCUGGUCUGUAACUGACGCUGAGGUUCGAAAGCGUGGGUAGCAAACAGG
rnacentral:rRNA from 1 species